GACUUUAGAGUACAGGCCACAGCAGCUUUUAUCAAUGAAGGCAGGAACUAUAUAGUAGAGUUACUACGUUUUGCAGUUGAUAGUUACAUUGUUUGGUUGUCUUCUACAGUUACAAGUAAACAAAAGUGCUGAUUUGUCCC